AAUUUAUUUCUGCGUUUAGGCCAAGAACCGUCACUGGAAAAAAUACCUUGAGAUUCUUAAGUUGCACCACGAUGAUUUCGUGGUUGAUGGUGAAGUUUGUAGGGGACCAACAGAGAUUGUAACCAUGGCUAACACAUAUAGUGCAAAGCUGGUUGCCGACUGUGGUGCUGUUGAACUCGAAUGUGAAAACUACUGGAAGGACAUCAUCCCAAGACUGGUACUCCACUAUUCCUGCUGCUACACCUGCAAGGAACAGAAGUGCAUCUUGCCCAGAUUCUGCUUUGGUAGUUAUUACACAUGGUGUGUGAGCUAUCCCACCACCAAGUGCUAUCCAUACUACUACAAGUACUACACAACCUACCGUUACUGCCGUGUCAACUACUACAGUGGAUGCUACAAAUAUAGCAAAUGCUAUUAGUCGAGGAGCAUUCUUCGUCGGCAAGGAAGGACUCAUUAGAUGUUUCUUUCUGUAGUGUAAUAAGCUUUUUAUCGCAUAUAACGUUGAACUGCUGUUAUUUGUGCGUCAAUAAAAGCCACUGCCGACCAUA